GAAUGUCCCUGAUUGGCUUGGGGCGUUUCCUAUAGGAGCGGGCUCUGACUGAGUAUAGGUGCUAUACUGGCUCCUCCCACUUGGGAUUUAAUUACAGAGGAGAGGACGAACCGGUGCCGCUACCUGAUCUGCAGGUGCUACUGUUGCUGGGAGCCCUCUUACAUCGCCUUUCCUUUGUGGCUUCCUGCUCUUCCUCCGGCCUCCUCAGCAGGGCGCCCCCUGCAAGUUCAAGCCUUGGUGUUCCUCUUGUGAUGAAGGCAAUGGGGCCAGCUCGCACUGUUUGGACUGCCAGGGGAAGAACUGCCUGCGAGCCCACCAGCGCAUCCGACUUUCCAAGGACCAUGGCUCCUUCACAUGCUGCACAUGCUGUGAGAAGAAUAUCGGAGAUAGCCAGGGAGGAGAAAUCCAGCGCAGCACGAUGGAUCUGAAGAGUAGCGGAAGUGGAGUUUCUGAAUAUGUCAAAUCGUAUCUUACCUGUAAAUUUCCCUCCAUCCAAUUGUGCACUGUGGGACCCACCUCCCAUGGGGGAUACAGCUGGCUUACAUUUCAGCUAUUACAGAAAUCCCAUAUUGCUUGUUUUGGGAAAGGCUUUGUGGCUUUCUUCUCGUCUUGCAAAAACAGGGAGAAAGCCUUUUUCCUGUUUCUUGCUGGGAACUUUUUCAAUAGAUGAAG